AACGAACGCUGGCGGCGUGGAUAAGACAUGCAAGUCGAACGGGAUUAUUUUUGUAGCAAUACAGAAAUAAUUCAGUGGCGAACGGGUGCGUAACACGUGGGCAAUCUGCCGAAAAGUGGGGGAUAGCUCGCCGAAAGGCGAAUUAAUACCGCAUGUGGUGAGGGACGACAUCUUCCUGAAUCCAAAGCCGGGGUAACCUGGCGCUUUUUGAGGAGCCCGCGGCCUAUCAGCAGUUGGUGAGGUAACGGCCCACCAAGGCUAUGACGGGUAGCUGGUCUGAGAGGACGACCAGUCACACUGGAACUGAGACACGGUCCAGACACCUACGGGUGGCAGCAGUCGAGAAUUUUUCUCAAUGGGGGCAACCCUGAAGGAGCGACGCCGCGUGGA
rnacentral:rRNA from 1 species